GCCCACCCCCCCCCCAACAGUGUCAUUCCCCAUCCCCCUCAACAGUCAUUCCCCAUCCCCCCCAACAGUGUCAUUCCCCCGUGGGUGCCAUCUCAGGGUUACCCCCACAAUGGCAUCCUCUGUGGAGUUGCCUUAUUUGUGGGGAGCCCUCCCCUCUUGCUGUGGAUGGGGGCAGGGUGGAGGUCCAGGGGGCCGCCAGCCCUCUCUGGCCCUGAUCCUGGGGAUAUUGUUGCCUCUCGCCAUCCCUCCCCUUGUCACCUCCCUCUUCCACUCCCAUCUGGGCCUGGCCCCAGGGAGCAGGUGCAGUUCCACCAUUGGCCUCUGGGGGGCGCCCGUGGCAUCUCCAUUCCCUCUCUUCCGGGUCAGAAUGCCAUCCCACCCCCUGCCAGUGGCCAACUCCACACGCCACCACACCUCUGCCUUAUUCUUUUCCUCAAGCGAAGCCUCCUCCAAAGGAACCUCCCAGGGUCUGAACCCUGCAGCCAUGGCCCUCCCAGGGCUGUCCUAUGCCCCACGCGGGUGACCAGGGCUCUGAGUGUGUGGUGGGCACAGGCUGCUUGGUCACUCAUCCAGCCUGGCAUAGGCCUGGGGUCCUUGGAGCCAGGCUCAGCUGUUGGGCAGCCCAUGUCACAGGGCUGGCUCGGAGGACUUGGCUUCUCACCACCAGCCUGGCUGGCUCACGGGUGAGGCUCACUGGGGGCUUCCUUCCUGAGGGGUCUCAGGUCUCAAGGCCCCUCCCCAGCUGUCCAGGCCCUCCCUCCAGGGACACCAGGGGAGUUUGGGCAAGCUCCAGGCAGCUGUGUUCCACCCUCCAGGUCCCUCAUUUCCCGCUGCUAGGAAGGUGGGACCCAGGAAGACUGCACCCCUGGCCUCAGGCCAGGCCGGCCCGGCCCUAGCUGCCCGGGGCCCUCAGCCACUGCCCCCACCUGGGGCUCCUCUGUGCAGUUCAGGGGACCCCCAGGGGUUGCAGUGCUAGGGUCUCACGCAGACAAGCCCCUGUCCCCACCAGGGCCUGGCUCAUAGGGAGUGACAUGGGUCCCCUUCAGCACACCCUCCUGUGUCUCCCCAGGAGCCUGGCUGAGGAUUUUGAGUUAUGAUAGUCGGUUGUUCGCUGGGCCUUCCAUGCCCCAUGCCCCUGGCAGCUCAGCUCACAACCUCCCUGCAGUUAACCCUUCUUCCUGUUUCCUUCCCUCUUCUCCUCUCCUUUCCUUCCUAAGUGAUUAUUCAGUCCCGUGUUAGAUGUCUGCUGCGUAUCCAGUGACCGAACACCAGGCCCUGCUCAGGGUCUCAGGCCAAAGUCCAGGUGUCAGCUGGGCUGCCAUGUGAGGCUCAGGGUCCCCUUCUCAGCUCACCAGUUAUUGGCAGAGUUCAGUUCCUUGCAGCUGUAGGCUCCAAGUUCCUGUGUCCUUGCUGGCUGCCACCCACAGUUCCCUGCCUCGUGCCCAGGCCAGCAGGAGAAAUCCUCUACUCCUGCUGUCUCGCCUCUGAGCUCCAGCUCGCCUACAGCUCAUCAGUGUGAAUCUGAAUGCUUCAGUGAGCAGCCUAAACUAGCCUAAACAGGACAGAAUUCACUGGCUCUCGGCCCCAAAGACUUCUGGAAGCACCAGCCACAGGGAUGGGCCAUAGUACCUGCCGCAGAGGUUGAAGAUUUAAUAAAUUAACGUGUGUCGAGUAUUUGGAAGCAAGCCAGGACAGCAGCUGUGGUGUUUCCUGUCGACUGUGCUUGCUAAGGAGCAUGAGCACCCGAAGCGCUGAUGACAGAGGCCGAGUGGGGGGAGGGCACACCCCUUUGCUGCUGUCGGCGGGAUCUGGUGUUCCACUGCCCUCUCGCUCGGGAGGAGCUUCCUGGGCCUCUCUCUGUGGGCCCCGCCUGCCUCCUCUACAGGAAUGUGGCGUCUGCCAGAUGCAGACCAUCCAGGUGACCAGAUGUCUCCUGAUUUGUGUCUCACUGUCUGGACUCAGCGUCCCCAGCAGACGUCACAGUGCAGGUGAGAUUCCAGAGCGUGAGGCUCUGCGUUUUCGCCUCGGGUUUAGCUGGCAUGAGAGAGGGAUGGAGCCCGAGACUCACCGGGGACCACACAGCAGAUGCCGGACACAGAGAAUUCCAGCCACCGGGCUGGCAAACGGAAAACAAAACAAAGCAAAAGCCAGCGAAGCAAAUUCCACCCUCUGGUGUCUCCUGGUGGCUUACAGCUUCAUCUGCUCCUUUCUCCUCACUUAUUUUUCUUCUAUUUAUAAGUUGCUGGCACUGUGUAAUUUUAUCUGCUGCAGCCACAGAGAAGAAGUGAGGAUGUGAUUUUAGAGCCGUCAGUAGAACAGGCACUGCUGUCAUCUGGUGUAUCUGCUCUCUCUAUCUGGAGCCAAGCGCACCUGGGCAGGUACCUUCCCUGCAUCCAGAGGGGCCUCGGUCCCUCAGGAACCCCCCUGACACGAGAAGGCUUCCCUUGUUUGCCGUCUUCCCUGUGUGUGUGUGAGAGGGAAGAGUUGGAGAGGGUGAGGAACACAGGUUUUAGAAUUAAAAGUCCAGUGCUUGGCUUUAGGACUUACCUGCUGUUUAAACUUGAGCUUCCCCAACACUGUUUGGGAAGGUCACUUCACGUCACAAAAUGGCCCCUGGAGCUCCAGCCAUCAUAACCAUAUCCCAGGCGGGAGGAAGGAGAAUGGAGGGGGGAGAGUGCACUCUCAGCCGGGUUCCUCGUGAAGGAACUUUCUAGAGUGUGGGGAAGCACGGGACUUGGUUGGAAAGUCUGUAAGGAGGAUUCUCCGAAAGGUCGCGGGCCUCUGGGGGAAUCUUGCCGAAGGCGGCAGGUCUGACCUUGACUUUUCCAAACAAGUCCGAUCUCCUGGGUGUUUUG